UCUCCGUUGGUGAACCAGCGGAGGGAUCAUUACCGAGUUUACAACUCCCAAACCCCUGUGAACAUACCAUUUGUUGCCUCGGCGGUGCCUGCUUCGGCAGCCCGCCAGAGGACCCAAACCCUUGAUUUUAUACAGUAUCUUCUGAGUAAACGAUUAAAUAAAUCAAAACUUUCAACAACGGAUCUCUUGGUUCAG
rnacentral:misc_RNA from 1 species